AAAGGGUUUUCUCAGUUUCCCUUUCGAUUGUAACGCUCUCAAUUACUUACAUCCAAAACGCUUCGCUCUGGACUCAUCAUACGAAUCUCGACGUUUUUCCUUCUGGUGGUCAAGGCUUCAGUUUUCAGUCUACCACCUCUUCUAAAGCCAUUCGCCAAGGCGUCGCCGUUCCAUUCCCCUCUUCCUAUUUCUCUUCUCCCAUUCGCUGCGUUCCAUUAAUCAGGAUUUCACUUCCGGUGUCGCUGCGUUUCAUUCGCUUCUUCUGUGGGUGGUUAUUGUUUUCAUCCAAGAUCAUUUUCUAUCAAUCCAUUUCCUUUUGGUUACUACUGUCUUUGCUCACAGGUUUUUGGGGUUUAAAAUGAGGGAACACUCCUUUGAGGUAAGCUGCAUUUUGUCUCUCAUUGUUCGUUCUAUUUAAAAUUUGAUUUUUGAUUAUUUUGGUAAUAUACUUCUGAAAGGUUGUUCCCUUUUCCUUAAAUUUUAGUUUCUGAAAGGAUUGAGAAAAUAUGCAUGGAGUAAGGACAAGUUUGAUUACUUCCAAUAUCUGCGAUUUCCCUAGCUUGAAAUCAUGAAAUCCUAUUUGUUUGUACUCUCAUCCAUCCAAAUACUCAUAAUUGAAUGUUAUGUGUACUUCUGUCUUUGAUAUGUCAUAUUUUGUUCAUAGACAGAACAGAAGCAUCGCUAUGUGAAGCCUAGCCACUCAUGCAAAAACUCCAGAAUGAGAUUCUUACACUGUCACGCUGAUGUUGGGGAGAAACCUUUGUAUGGUGCCAUUUGUUGUCCUUAAGAAUUCCUUCCGCUAUUUGAUUCUCUGCUCCGUUUCUGGAAAUCGCUCUCGCUUACAAUCUAAUUAAGGAUUCCUUCUAUUCUGGAAUUUUGUGCACCGUUUCUGGGUAUCGAUCUCACUCUGAAUCGGUGACAGAACCCCUAGGGUUGUAAUGGCUUCUGCAGAAUUUCUCCCUCUGCAGAUUAUUGAUGUGUUAUAUAUCUGCUUCGUUUCUCUGAAUCUCACUCCGGAUCAGUCAUCAGUAUUUACCUCACCAUUCGCUCUGUUCAAGUAAGGGUUUGCUCUAUUCUAUGCAUUCCAGACUCUUAACGGUUGCAAUCCAAGGUUCCAGUGAGGGAUUGUGUUUUGAUUCUUCCACUUAUUUUAAAGCCCCAAUUCGAUCUGCAAUCAAGGCUACCAAGACUCUUUGCUUUUUUACAGGUCCCGAUGGGACUCUCGGAGGAUGAGGAUGCGUCAGAAUUAAAAGGACUACGACACUGAUUUGAGAUUGAGAGAGCACAGACACAACGAAGGUUGUUGAGGAUAAGAGUGUUAUUGCUUCAAAUGAUACAUUUGGAGAAGUAAGAAGUGCAGUUGAGCAUCUUGGUGAUACUACAUGUGUUUCAGUUUCAUCAUUCAAGAGAUGUCUCCACUAAUGCAGGUUACUGUCAAGUAGGAAGCUUUGUGACUGUUCAAGAAAUGUACUAAUAGUUGUACACCUUAUUUGUUGUUGUUUUAGUUCUCUAAGACAUCAGCUGUGAGAGAAUCUCUCCCCUAGGAAUUGAGCAUGUCCCUGGAAACAUCUCUCAUUUUACUUUUGUUUGUAUAACUCUACUAUGUAAUUGUGUGAAAUCUUAUACCAUACUAUUUCACAGGUAAGACCCUAUAGGGAGAAGAAAUCAGCUAACAUAUAUGCCAUGACAAAGUUGAAAAAGUCUGAAACGCUUGGGACAUGUGAAAUUUUAUGUUUUCCUUAAUAGCAUUAAAGUUUCUUAUUUUCAUUCUUCAGUUAAUAUUAAGAUUAAAAGGAAGUUCUUUGUGAUAUUGUAUUUUUAGUUUCAUUAUUUUAUUUGAUUAUUUUUAGUUCAUUGAA